rnacentral:rRNA from 1 species
AGUGAACGCUGGCGGUAGGCCUAACACAUGCAAGUCGAACGGCAGCACAGGAGAGCUUGCUCUCUGGGUGGCGAGUGGCGGACGGGUGAGGAAUACAUCGGAAUCUACUCUGUCGUGGGGGAUAACGUAGGGAAACUUACGCUAAUACCGCAUACGACCUACGGGUGAAAGCAGGGGACCUUCGGGCCUUGCGCGAUUGAAUGAGCCGAUGUCGGAUUAGCUAGUUGGCGGGGUAAAGGCCCACCAAGGCGACGAUCCGUAGCUGGUCUGAGAGGAUGAUCAGCCACACUGGAACUGAGACACGGUCCAGACUCCUACGGGAGGCAGCAGUGGGGAAUAUUGGACAAUGGGCGCAAGCCUGAUCCAGCCAUACCGCGUGGGUGAAGAAGGCCUUCGGGUUGUAAACUGCUUUUGUACGGAACGAAACGGCUCUCUCUAAUACCUGGCGCAGUUGACGCUACCCGCAGAAGAAGCACCGGCUAACUCCGUGCCAGCCGCCGCAGUAA